GACGAACGCUGGCGGCGUGCUUAACACAUGCAAGUCGAACGGAAAGGCCCUGCUUUUGUGGGGUGCUCGAGUGGCGAACGGGUGAGUAACACGUGAGUAACCUGCCCUUGACUUUGGGAUAACUUCAGGAAACUGGGGCUAAUACCGGAUAGGAGCUCCUGCUGCAUGGUGGGGGUUGGAAAGUUUCGGCGGUUGGGGAUGGACUCGCGGCUUAUCAGCUUGUUGGUGGGGUAGUGGCUUACCAAGGCUUUGACGGGUAGCCGGCCUGAGAGGGUGACCGGCCACAUUGGGACUGAGAUACGGCCCAGACUCCUACGGGAGGCAGCAGUGGGGAAUAUUGCACAAGGGGCGGAAGCCUGAUGCAGCAACGCCGCGUGCGGGAUGACGGCCUUCGGGUGGGAAACCGCUUUCGCCUGUGACGAAGCGUGAGUGACGGUAAUGGGUAAAGAAGCACCGGCUACUACGUG
rnacentral:rRNA from 1 species